rnacentral:pre_miRNA from 1 species
UUAUUACUCCCUCCGUCUAGAAUUACUUGUCAUCAAAAUGGAUGUGUCUAGAACUAAAAUACAUCUAUAUACAUCCAUUUCAAUGACAAGUAUUUUCGGAUGGAGGGAGUACAAU